GAUGAACGCUGGCGGCGUGCUUAACACAUGCCAGUCGAACGGAAAGGCCAGUGCUUGCCCUGGUACUCGAGUGGCGAACGGGUGAGUAACACGUGGGUGAUCUGCCCUGUACUUCGGGAUAAGCUUGGGAAACUGGGUCUAAUACCGGAUAGGACAACUUUUUGGAUAUUGUUGUGGAAAGCUUUUGCGGUAUGGGAUGAGCUCGCGGCCUAUCAGCUUGUUGGUGGGGUAAUGGCCUACCAAGGCGUCGACGGGUAGCCGGCCUGAGAGGGUGUACGGCCAGAGUGGGACUGUGAUACGGGCCAGAGUCGUAAGGGAGGCAGCAGUGGGGAAUAUUGCACAAUGGGCGCCAGCGUGAGGCAGCGACGCCGCGUGGGGGAUGAAGGCCUUCGGGUUGUAAACUCCUUUCGCUAGGGACGAAGCGUUUUUGUGACGGUACCUGGAGAAGAAGCACCGGCUAACUACGUG
rnacentral:rRNA from 1 species